GUUUCUUAUGUAAAAUGAAUGCCUGGGAGGAGUUUUACAUCACUUUUAUAACGGAAGGAAUUAUACAGAUAUGGACAUUUUUGUUACCUAUUUUAAUACCAGCAGCAAUAUUUGGUUUUAAAAAAGUUCUGGCAAAGUUCGACAUAGAUUUAUGGCAAUGGAAAUUUGAGUAUCAUCAAGACAACAAGGACACAGUAAAGAACAGCAGUACGGUAACACAGUCUUGUGAUAUUAUAGCAACUACAGCAGCUGUGCCAUCAACAGAUUCAGGCGUCAAAUUACAAAUG